UUCUUUUCAUUCCUCAAACUGUUGCCAGAGUUAUUGCUGGGAAAUUUGCCUCUCAUUUGUUAGAUUUUCAUGUCGUUUUUAUGUUAUUUUAAACUAAAUUAUUACGUUGUUUAGAAACCAUUUUAUUCGAAUUUAAUUUAACCAAAAUUAUUUAAAUGCACAUUCUCAUUAUCUUUAAAUGUAUCAAUCUUAUUAUUUAGACACAUGAUAACUGUUGCUUAGUGUGUUGUUAAAUGCUUUCUUAACAUGUACCUGCUGUAAUUCAUGAUUAAGUCGGCUAGUUAUAAACAGCUUCCAUCUGUUUUUGUGAGCUCGUCUAAAGUGAGGACUAUUUGUCACGUUUCGUUGUUUCUCGGGAGAGGAAGCACUCGAGACGCAAAUAAACUUAAAUAGAUUUAAUCCAAAACUGGUAAAAUAAAUAUACAAAGGCAGGCAGAACAAAAAACCACAAGUAGGUAACCUCGGGAACGUAUAGACAUCGAAUGGACAUUGACGAUCGGACAACCGGAAUACAGACACAGGACUUAAAUACACAAGCCAUUCCAGGCCACCAGAGGCAUCUUACAGCAGUGAGAGUUUUAUUGGUCCCAGGAUGACCAGUGCUCAGUGAGUCUAUGGACCAGGAGUGGGGCUGAUAUGAAGACCGUUUGAAGAAUUUCCAUGACUGACGUGGCUUCGGUUGUCAAUGGUGCAGUCAUGAAACUGUAACUGUAAAUUAACAGUUUGCAGAAGUUGGAAAAUCUCAGUAUUCAAUGGAGCUGUUUGAUCGUAGUGGCCAGUGGGCAUCACAAAGACAGCUUUCAAUUUCGUCCACCCUUCCGGAUGAGGUUAUAUGCACUUCUGAGGUCCAACUUGGUGAAGAUCCUGGCACUUCUUAGCCACAAAGAAAAAAUGGAAGCAGCAGAAGUGGACAGAUGGAUGUAGCCUUGUUGUAAUACCUCCUCAUUGUAUUCCUCCAUGGCCUUUAGUUCUGGGAUCAAAAUGGAGUAGAUAUUACCUUUGGGUACUAAAUCAUUGGGUAGGAGUUUGAACUUAACUUUAACUUGAACAUACAUGUCAAGUUUGCCAUAAGUGUGAGAGUUAAAAUGGUGAGCAUUUCUACUGCAGGUUAAGACCAUAAUGUCUUUAUAAAAUAAAGAAAUCUAGUUCUAUCUGUAGAUGAGUAGAAUUAGGAGGGCUGUUGAUAAUGUCCUGAACUUAAUUAAUUAAUUAAUUCCAAGUACACUCAAGGAAUUGUUUCAGUAGUAUAGUACGGCUAUAGUCCAUAAAUGCAAAGAGGUAGCAACAUACUUGUGCAAGAGCUACAGGAAACAAGGGGAAAAACAUCAAAUAAACUUAGUAAACUAAGCAAGCCCCUUUUCACUUGUCCAAAACAACUGAUACAACCAAUGAUCAUUAAACUUAUGUUUGAGCAGGAAAUAAAAA